rnacentral:lncRNA from 1 species
ACAAGGUACAAGACAUACUUAAUUGCUACACAUAUUAAUCCCGUAUAUAUUAAAUUUGUAAAAUUUGAUGGGAGCCAUAGUGAAGAUCAUACUAAUAAAAUUGCAACGCAUAUUAAUAUCCUAUAAAAAUUAUUUUUUUAAACAUUAAUUGUUAUAGAAUUUAAAUGACUAAAUUUAUAGGCGGUCCAUAAAAACAAUGUUGUUACUCAUAACUCACGCAUUAUCCAAGCCCAACACAGGCUCCUUCUCCACGGUGCCGUUUAACGCUGAAACAGAAGCAAAUGGACAUGAACGGUCGAGAGGAGAGAUAACACGCAGAGUGUAUUGAAGAAGCUUCUGGAGAAAUACAUGCGGCGGAGAAACGAGAAAGGAAGAGAGAAGCUGGCGGGCGAAUAUUUUUGGAGAGAGGAGAGUUGAUGAUUUCUGGGGAAGAAGAAGAUAACAGAAGGGAGAGGGUUUUUCCGAAUCAAUAUGGAGUCUUAUUAGGUUUUGUUAAAGGGGAGGAAGUGAUUGAAGAAGGAAACACAAAGAGGCUUUGGAAUAGGGUGGGUUAAUUUCGGAUUGGCUAUUAGUUUCCUUUGUCUUCUCCGUUUUUUGAAACCAGUUUGUUGGUACGCAUUUCAGUUUUCUGAUAGUUUGAGGUUUUUCCCCUGCUAAUAUGUGUUUUUCCUUUUUGUUAAGAAAAAUAACUACUCUGUUCUCUGAGAUUGAUUAGAAUAGGAUGAUCUUUUGGUUUUUGUAUUUUCUUCUUUCCCUUUAAUGUCAUUUGCUUACAGUCACUUAUAUUAGUUUUCAUAUUGUGAUUAUUCUCGUCUGGAUUUGGAGAAAUGAUUUUUAGUUUGUUGGAAGUAGAAUUUUAUGGUUUUCUUCUUGUAAGUUCUUUUCGGAAAUAAUUUCACCAUACAAAUUAUGAAAUAAAAGAAAGAACUAGAACACACACCAAAUAACUGGUUCAGGACCACUUCCACUUGGCUAACUCCAUGGGAACUUACUAUUAUUCCGAUCACUAUAAUAUACAAAGAGAAGUAGUAUAAACACCGCGCAGAAUUCUCACUCUUCGUUACACCUGGUACACAGACUCAAGUUAUCUUGUACUAGAUCUCAAUGUCUUAACAUUUUUUACCUCCCCCUUUAUUCUUGCAAUUCACUACACUCUCUCUACUCCCAUACAACAUGUGCUCCAUUUAGGGGAAAAAGAGGAAGGGAACAAAAGGUUGAGGUAGGUGGAAUAUCAUCCGCCAGGCACCACGCUCAAGUUAGAAGUCAACAUUUCUCCCUUUUACACUCAUAUAUGGUUACUUGGAAAAACAAAAACAAAACAAAUUACCAAAUCCUAACACACAGAUAAAUUUGGCCUUCCUUCAAAUUACAUCACCGCCAUCAAGCACCAAAUUUAUUGUGUUAUCAUUGUCGUUUUUCUUCUCUCCUUUACCUCUUUUCAACUGCUUGGAGGUUCUUAGAUUAUCUGCUUUGCAUUUUCCCAGUAGUAGCAUGCAUGUAUGUAUAUCUUAGUUGAGACUCUCCACGAGGGUGACCUCUCCCUCGUCAAUGACUCUUCUCCCUUGUCAUGAGUUCUUCACAACUAAAUUUUCCUUUAACAUAUUUUUCUCAUUCGCCUUAGUUGGUGACAUAAGAUAGGAACAUGGUUAAAUUUACUUGAUCUCNNNNNNNNNNNNNNNNNNNNNNNNNNNNNNNNNNNNNNNNNNNNNNNNNNNNNNNNNNNNNNNNNNNNNNNNNNNNNNNNNNNNNNNNNNNNNNNNNNNNNNNNNNNNNNNNNNNACAACUAAUUAGGAAUAGAAUUAAAAAUAAUACUGAACUAGCAACCUACUUAGAAAUGUGAAUCUAAAAAUAAAUAUCAAUGCUUUAAAUGAUAAUAAUACUAGUAGCAUUUCUAUAAUGCUUCUUUGUAUCAUUCUCCCCCACUUAAAGAAAACUUGUCUUCGAGUUUUGAAAUGUCCAAAAAUAAUAGAACUCAAUCGAUGCACAUUUGAAAAAUUUUGUUGGAAAUCCUUUGACUUGUUGCUCUUAUGAGGAAAAAUAUUUGGCAACAGAAAUAUGAUUGAAGGUUGAUAAAACCAAGAUGGUCGAACAAACUUAAAAAAAUUAAAAACUUUCUUUCUUGGUUUGCUCAUUAGAUUCAAUAUCAAUAGCCUUAUAUCCUAUAAAAAAAUCAAUAACUUUAUCAUAUUUUCAAGAAAAAAAUCAAUAGCUUUAUCUUUCCAUGAAGCAUGUUUAUUAGUUGUAGGAUUAUUUUUACCAUGAAGUUGAUCAUCUUCUUGUUCUUGGGCUUGCGACUUACUUUACUCCUCUACUUGUUCUUGUAUUAUUUCUUCUACUUGAUUUUCCAUCCCUUCUUCAUAUAGCUCAAGCUCUUGUCAUGACUUUUCAUUUUCCAUUUCUUUUUACCAUGCGUAAAAUGCCUGUAAGCUUGGCCAGAAGGAGUUACUGUUUCUACAUCAGCAACUGUUGAUUUGUUAGGACUCAUAACUUAUUAAUUUAAUAUGAGAUGAGCCUGAAACUUAUUUUAUGCUCAUGUUAAUUAAGAUUUGUUUUGUGUUUGAUUGGUUAUUGAUUUUUACCUUAAUUAAUUUUACUAUAUUUAUCUAUGGAUUUUUUGAUGUCAGAAAAUACUACACGAAUGAGCAAUUAACCCAAAACAGGAAUUGGUGGCUAAAUUGUCAAUGUUUUAUUCCUAUUAUUUCUCACUUCAUUUUCUGUUACAUUACAAAAGUUUACGAGAAAUUUUCUGAACUUCUUCUACUGCUUUUAUUUAUUGAAGAGGCUGGUUUUUAUAGAGAAACAUGAGAAUAAACCUGUCACUGAAUCUCGGAUUAAAAAAGUAAAAAGAAUUUGCUUGAUUUAAGGGACAAACUUUGACUAGAUAAGGUAUGGAGAUAUUAGAUAUCUCCUUAUUAAAAAAUACUGGAAUUAGUAUCCCAAAAAUCAUAAAUAAACUAGGAAUUGAUCUCUUGGCUGAUUUAUCCCUAGCAAUUAGGAAUUAAUCUCUUUGCUGAUUUUUCUCACUUACCGAUGCUCCCACUUAAGCUGCUGCAUAGAUAUCUAUCAUGCACAAGGUGCUGAAAAGUUCUUUUGUGAGAAUAUUAGGUAUUUAUUGUGAUAUUGGAACAAAUUGCAUGCAUAUAACUCAUGCUUCAAACUUUUCCUUUAUUAUGUGCUUGUUAAUUUCAACAUGCUUUUUUCUAUCGUAUUGAACUGCACUGUGCGUAAUGCUAAUAGCUGUUAUGUUGUCAUAGUACAG